AAUCAUUCAAAUUUUUUUGGACUUUAUAGAAUUGCCUCAUCUCUACUCUGGAAUAUUUGGAUACAAUGUUUGGCAAGGCGGGAGUGCCGUUUGGGUAGAAGAAAGGCAGAGAAGAGUUCAUUCAACCGAAUUACUGGAUGGAAUGUAUUUAAUUAACCGAAGAAAACUAACCACGAGGAGAGUGAUUUCUUAUUGAUAAUGACUUCGUGAUUUUUAUUGUAACUGGGAUUAUUCAAAUGUUUCACUUGAUAUGCAUGCAUACCCGACUGUAAGCCUAGUAUCUAAGUAAACCGGGCAAAACUAAUGAAAGUAAUCUGUAAAUCUCGUCAAAGCCACUGAAACAAUGAAAAUUAUGCAUGUUAUCCAACAAGAAAAUCGUCCCAUUCACCAUUUUGUUGAGACAAUUGAUUUCAAUAAUUAUGGACUGGAUUUUUUGGUACCAAUUCUGUCUCCUUCACUAUCAGAAUUUGAUUUCGUUCGGAUUAACAAUCACCAAGAAUCUGUAAUUUGAAAAGUAUAUAAUUAUCUCCAGUUUUUGGGUUUUGUUUUUCUCUGAUCAUAUCUGGUUAGCUUUCUAAAUUACUAAACUUCGUGUUAAAAGCAAUUACUGUCAUUUUUGUCUUAAUAGAAAUUAUGCCGAAGUAUUCAAAUUAGUUACAAUUAUCACCCACACGAGCAUUCCCAACGCACCAGCCAAUAAAUGAUCCAAAUUGUGAAAAAUUAUAUUUUCAUUGCUCUCAUGAGGCUACAGUUCAUUGGUCUGGAAGCAAUAUUGGUUCCACCUCAUUUCACUAAAUUGAUACCCUUAGAGUUACAAUAAUACGAUAAUAAUGUCAAAUCCACCCAUCGAAUGAUCCAAGGUCACCCAAUCAUAAAUUACACGUUCCUAUUAUGCCUUCUCCAAGUUCUUGUGUGAAUGCCCUACAAAAAAGCAUCGCAAGGAUCAAAAAUCGUUCAGUUCGCAAUGCGCGUAGCACAUGCUUUAAUAAUUACACACAUAAGGACGCUGGAUAUCUUUUGAAACCUAAUAGAAGAGAAAGCAAGAGGCGCAUCCCCGAAAUCGGACCACAAAAUGAAAAUGAUACGCAUUAAGAAUCAUCACAUCCUGAUGUUUGCCCGUGUAUGUAGUUGAAGAUGGAUAUUCGUACAUGAAUCCUUGUCUGUUGUUAGUAGGCAGGUUUUUGGGUCAAGCCUCUCUUUUUCUCUACUUGGAGAAAUCGUACACCACAGAUUAAGGUUUUCUUCCACUUUUUAAUUAAGGGUAACUCCUGCUUUUGAUUUGGAGGCAAGGAUCAUUGCAUCAAUGUUUGGCCAACAACUGCAAGGACGCACGCCCGGAUAAUUUUACGGGGGAUUCUGACAGUGUAUUGGUAUUACCUACUUCUCAGAUCAUACUUAUACAGGGGCGUAGAUGGAAGAUAGUGUAGGGAUAGGUAGAUCAUUGCUGGAAGUUUUCAAAUUGUUGUGAAUUGUCGUACAUCAGUGAGGACGGCCAUAAUUGCCAAGAAAUACUAUACAUAUCAUGAGAUGAAUUUAGAUUAAGAAAGUUAGUUUGUUGCGAUGCGUUGGUGUGAUACAUUCUCCCAAAUUUAAAACAAAACAAAACUGACAAGUAUUUUUAAGGAAGUAAAUAUUAGGAAAAUCAAACGUCAAAUGUAUGCAAAUAUAAUAAAUAACAUAUAACUAUGGUAUAUAACAAAUCUGAAACUGGAAGGUUGGUGCUUCAGGAUGAACUUGAGAUGGUUUGCAGUAAAUUUAUAAAAUAUACUAAUAUACUGUUGUAUAUUAACUUUAUUUCAACGAAUAUGGUGACCUCGAAUAUUUAAAGGAAACAUAACGAUAUUUU